GACGAACGCUGGCGGCGUGCCUAAUACAUGCAAGUCGAACGCAUUUUCUUUCACCGUAGCUUGCUACACCGAAAGAAAAUGAGUGGCGAACGGGUGAGUAACACGUGGGUAACCUGCCCAUCAGCGGGGGAUAACACUUGGAAACAGGUGCUAAUACCGCAUAAUUCCAUUUACCGCAUGGUAGAUGGAUGAAAGGCGCUUUUGCGUCACUGAUGGAUGGACCCGCGGUGCAUUCGCUAGUUGGUGGGGUAACGGCCUACCAAGGCUGCGAUGCGUAGCCGACCUGAGAGGGUGAUCGGCCACACUGGGACUGAGACACGGCCCAGACUCCUACGGGAGGCAGCAGUAGGGAAUCUUCGGCAAUGGACGCAAGUCUGACCGAGCAACGCCGCGUGAGUGAAGAAGGUUUUCGGAUCGUAAAACUCUGUUGUUAGAGAAGAACAAGGAUGAGAGUGGAAAGUUCAUCCCUUGACGGUAUCUAACCAGAAAGCCACGGCUAACUACGUG
rnacentral:rRNA from 1 species